ACGCUCGACACCUACUGGAGGCAGCAGUAGGGAAUCUUCCACAAUGGACGCAAGUCUGAUGGAGCAACGCCGCGUGAGUGAAGAAGGUUUUCGGAUCGUAAAGCUCUGUUGUUGGUGAAGAAGGAUAGAGGUAGUAACUGGCCUUUAUUUGACGGUAAUCAACCAGAAAGUCACGGCUAACUACGUGCCAGCAGCUGCGGUAAUCUGAGCGGGCUGGCAAGGC
rnacentral:rRNA from 1 species